rnacentral:rRNA from 1 species
GAUAGGACUAAGACAUGCUAGUUGAGCGCUUCCAGCCAAAACGGGAGCGCAGCGCACAGCUCAGUAACACGUGGCUAAUCUGCCCUUGGGACCGGAACACCCCCGGGAAACUGGGGCUAAUUCUCGAUAGGUGAAGAACUCUGGAAUGAGUCUUUGCCAAAAAGACGUUUACGUUAUGCUCGUAGGCGUCGCCCAAGGAUGAGGCCGCGACCGAUCAGGUUGUUGGUGAGGUAAUGGCUCACCAAGCCUUUUACCGGUGCGGGCCGUGAGAGCGGGAGCCCGGAGAUGGGCACUGAGACAAAGGCCCAGGCCCUACGGGGCGCAGCAGUCGCGAAAACUUUGCAAUACACGAAAGUGUGACAGGGCUAUCCCGAGUGCCAUCCGCUGAGGAAGGCUUUAACCCAGUCUAGAACGCUGGGGGAAUAAGGAGAGGGCAAGUCUGGUGUCAGCCGCCGCGGUAAUACCAGCUCUCCGAGUGGUGUGGAUGUUUAUUGGGCCUAAAGCAUCCGUAGCUGGCUGAGUUAGUCCCUUGUUAAAUCCACCGAAUUAAUCGUUGGAUUGCGGGGGAUACUGCUCGGCUAGGGGACGAGAGAGGCAGACGGUAUUUCUGGGGUAGGGGUGAAAUCCUAUAAUCCCAGGAGGACCACCAGUGGCGAAGGCGGUCAACUAGAACGUGCCUGACGGUGAUGGACGAAAGCUGGGGGAGCGAACCGGAUUAGACACCCGGGUAGUCCCAGCUGUAAACGAUGCGGGCUAGGUGUUGGGACAGCCAUGAGCUGCUCCAGUGCCGCAGAGAAGUUGUUAAGCCCGCCGCCUGGGAAGUACGGUCGCAAGGCUGAAACUUAAAGGAAUUGGCGGGGGAGCACCACAAGGGGUGAAGGCUGCGGUUCAAU